CUGGUAGCAUCUCUGGCUGCUGUUGAUCUCGUUUUUGGAGUAAAACACGGUGGAAGCUGAAUUAGUGAGGAUGACUCCUGCUCCUGUCAUCUCUAAGCUCCUCACACAUCUUUACCUGCACAUGAGGAAAAUCACUCCUGUAGAAUGCAGAUGUUCAGAGGGAGAUGAUGCCACAUCUGGUCCAGCCGAUGGAAGGUCUUGAAGUUCUCUGACUGGCCUCGACUGAAGAUGGUCGUCUCACUGGAUUUAAGGUUCAGAUGCUCAGUAACAAACUCCACCAAUGUGCCAACAGGGAAGCUUUAGGUUUAUUAAAUGUUGCUAUGAAGGUUUCGCUGUUUUUCUUUGUGAAUGCAAUGUGCUCCAACUGAAACUUGAAAUAGAACUUAGUCGUAAAUCCUUCCAUCUGAAAGGAUCUAGAUGUAUUAAUAACCUCAUAACAUUCUAAUUUUUAUUCCAGUCUUGGCUAGAAAUAGAAUCUCUGUAUUGAUUCAGGUAAAAACUGAACUUCACAGCAUGUUGAAGCAAAACAACCAGAUGAAAACUGUGAUGGUGUUGGAUUGUCAGACCGUAAUGUUGCAGCUCAAAGCAGCUUUUCUAUCUCGGUUCAUUCUGACAUUCAGCUAUGAAUCAACACAGCAGAUGGUGAUCCAUGCUGUGGAAGUCUCACAUCUCCUGAUUUAAUGGAGCUGCUUUGCACUUUUUACACAGUUUAUUCACCAACACUUUAUUUAAUAAAAGUCCCAUCUAGUUUUUAUGAGGAAUGUGAGGUUUUAAUUUCUCUGUGAAUAACUGCAGUCUAAUGUAACAGCUGGAGUUGUAACAUCUGUCCUGAUAUUGAUCAUGAACCUUCUAACCUUCUGCUGCCUAUUAUCUGAAAACAGGAAUGUUCUGCUCUCAUUACUGAGCACACAGCCUAGUAAGAGGAGCACUUUUCAGAAAUGAC